GCACUCACUUUGGCAGCACACACACUAAAAUUGGGAUGAUACAGAGAAGAUCAGCCUGGCCCCUGUGUAAGGGCAACGUGCAGAUUUGUGAAGCAUUCCAUGGUUUU